CAGACUUUCCAGCAAGUCAGUCAGAUUUGCUGUUGCUCUGAUUUGAAUGGAUAACCUUUAAGAGAUGUGAGCAAUUUCUGGUUCAUCUUUGUUGUUUACAAAGCGAGGAGAAAAGGAAGGAUGCAGAGUAGGUUUGGAUGCAGUAUUGGAAGAUGCUUACUUAGACUCUACAAGAAAAGCAAGAAAAAUGGUCUCAGAGAUAGCACAUCCGUGGCGCAAAGCUUUGGAGGGGCCUUUCACGGCGAAACACCAUGAGCAUUGACCUGAGACGCAGCUUUCUGCUCCGCAGCCCGAGUCCUCUAGAACUCCGGCUUGCCUGCUCCCAGGAGAGGGCAGUGGAGCCGCACACGCUCCGUGCCGCGGCCGGCGGGCCGCUCCGUCCCCGCGGGGCUGUGCGAG
ensembl:lncRNA